UUGCACAUCUAAGACAGAUGGUGUCUUAAAUGGCCAAGAUAAAGGGGGAUAUAAAAUUUUCUCUCUCAAACCCAAAGCAAAAGGAUUAUCAAUGCUUUGGAUCCUGUCGGGAGGAACAGCU